UAGAUGCCACAUCACUCCCCCGCGGAGACC
rnacentral:sRNA from 1 species